AGUGAACGCUGGCGGCAGGCCUAAUACAUGCAAGUCGAACGGCAGCACAGCAGAGCUUGCUCUGUGGGUGGCGAGUGGCGGACGGGUGAGGAAUACGUGGGAAUCUGCCCAGUCGUGGGGGAUAACGUAGGGAAACUUACGCUAAUACCGCAUGCGCCCUUCGGGGAAAGCCGGGGACCUUCGGGCCUGGCGCGAUUGGAUGAGCCCACGUCGGAUUAGCUAGUUGGCGGGGUAAAGGCCCACCAAGGCGGACGAUCCGUAGCUGGUCUGAGAGGAUGAUCAGCCACACUGGAACUGAGACACGGUCCAGACUCCUAACGGGAGGCAGCAGUAGGGAAUAUUGGACAAUGGGCGCAAGCCUGAUCCAGCCAUGCCGCGUGAGUGAAGAAAGGCCCUCGGGUUGUAAAGCUCUUUGUCC
rnacentral:rRNA from 1 species